UACGUAUGGAUCGAGCGUUGUCCGGAAUCAUUGGGCGUAAAGGGUACGUAGGCGGCCUAGUAAGUUAGAAGUGAAAUAAUAUAGCUCAACUAUAUAAAGCUUUUAAAACUGUUAGGCUUGAGAGAUGAAAGGGAAAGUGGAAUUCCUAGUGUAGCGGUGAAAUGCGCAGAUAUUAGGAAGAAUACCGGUGGCGAAGGCGACUUUCUGGUCAUCAUCUGACGCUGAGGUACGAAAGCGUGGGUAGCAAACAGG
rnacentral:rRNA from 1 species